rnacentral:rRNA from 1 species
GACGAACGCUGGCGGCGUGCCUAAUACAUGCAAGUUGAGCGCUGAAGGUUGGUACUUGUACCGACUGGAUGAGCAGCGAACGGGUGAGUAACGCGUGGGGAAUCUGCCUUUGGGCGGGGGACAACGUUUGGAAACGAAUGCUAAUACCGCAUAAAAACUUUAAACACAAGUUUUAAGUUUGAAAGAUGCAAUUGCAUCACUCAAAGAUGAUCCCGCGUUGUAUUAGCUAGUUGGUGAGGUAAAGGCUCACCAAGGCGAUGAUACAUAGCCGACCUGAGAGGGUGAUCGGCCACAUUGGGACUGAGACACGGCCCAAACUCCUACGGGAGGCAGCAGUAGGGAAUCUUCGGCAAUGGACGAAAGUCUGACCAAGCAACGCCGCGUGAGUGAAGAAGGUUUUCGGAUCGUAAAACUCUGUUGGUAGAGAAGAACGUUGGUGAGAGUGGAAAGCUCAUCAAGUGACGGUAACUACCCAGAAAGGGACGGCUAACUACGUGCCAGCCGCCGCCGUAA